ACAGAAAUGUUUCAUUGUUCAACUCUCUAGAGAACUCCCAGACCACGUCCUCACACCGUCACCAUCGAUCCCUCCCAAGUUCCCAACCAUCCGCCGCCGCCACUGAUCGGCUGCCCAUCACAUCCGCCGCCGCCACCGAUCAGCGGUUGCAACUCGACAGGGCUGCCACAUCCUGCUCCCUAGGGCCACCACAUAUGUCACACCCAGACGGACACACCACGCCCACUCGCAGAUCCGGCGGCGGCCCGCCGCCACCCACCCUACUGCAUCCUUCACCGUCCCCCAUCCGCAAUCGCAGCCUGCUAGCCGCCAGGACAGGGCCGCCACAUCUCGCCAGAGCAGAGCCGCCACACAUGGACUGUGUUGCUAGGACCGCCACAUCUCGCUGGUGCAUGGCCAUCGCAUCCGUGGCUCACAUGCCAGUAUGAAGGGACAAUGGCGAUGGGAUAGCAGAGCGGGGUGGCAUGCUUGCAGUACCUCCUCGACGCCGCCUACGAUGCCAGCUUCAACUUCUUUUGACUCCACAGAAUUGAUACAAUGGAAGCACUUGUGACUGAGACUAGAAUAGAAGGGAAAGAAUCUAAGACCUCUAUAGAAGCAAUUGCUCAAGUAUUGGCUUCAUCAAGAUAUCUUCAAAAUGUUCUUGUAGCUGCAAUAAAGAGAAGCGGGAAUGGUGGUGAUGCUACAUGCGUAGAAGUAGAAAUGUUGGUCUUGUAGCUCCAAGAGUUGCUCAAGUAUUUGCUUCAUCAAUUUUUUUUUCAAAAUGUUGUUCUUGUAGCUGCAACAAAGAGAAACUGCAAUGGUGGUGAUGCUAAAUGUUGGUAUUGUAGCUCCAAGAUUUGGUUUUUGAUGAAUGAUAUCUAUGAUAAUACGUUGCUAAGUAUAUGUGAUGAUCAAUCAUUGUUGUUUA